CCUACGGGAGGCAGCAGUAGGGAAUAUUGCUCAAUGGGGGAAACCCUGAAGCAGCAACGCCGCGUGGAGGAUGAAGGUUUUCGGAUUGUAAACUCCUUUUGUUAGAGAAGAUAAUGACGGUAUCUAACGAAUAAGCACCGGCUAACUCCGUGCCAGCAGCCGCGGUAAUACGGAGGGUGCAAGCGUUACUCGGAAUCACUGGGCGUAAAGAGCGCGUAGGCGGGAUAGCAAGUCAGAUGUGAAAUCCUAUGGCUUAACCAUAGAACUGAAUUUGAAACUGUUAUUCUAGAGUAUGGGAGAGGUAGGUGGAAUUCUUGGUGGAGGGGUAAAAGCCGUAGAGAUAAAGAGGAAUACUCAUUGCGAAGGCGACCUGCUAGAACAUAACUGACGCUGAUGCGCGAAAGCGUGGGGAGCAAACAGGAUUAGAUACCCUUGUAGUC
rnacentral:rRNA from 1 species